rnacentral:misc_RNA from 1 species
GAUGAAGAACGCAGUGAAAUGCGAUAACUAAUGUGAAUUGCAGAAUUCCGUGAAUCAUCGAGUCUUUGAACGCACAUUGCGCCCCCUGGUAUUCCGGGGGGCAUGCCUGUCCGAGCGUCAUUGCUGCCCAUCAAGCACGGCUUGUGUGUUGGGUCCCGUCCCCCUCUCCCGGGGGACGGACCCGAAAGGCAGCGGCGGCACCGCGUCCGGUCCUCGAGCGUAUGGGGCUUUGUCACCCGCUCUUGUAGGCCCGGCCGGCGCUUGCCGACACCCAACCAUUUUUUUCAGGUUGACCUCGGAUCAGGUAGGGAUACCCGCUGAACUUAAGCAUAUCAAUAAGCGGAGGA